rfam:Lactobacillus camelliae DSM 22697 = JCM 13995 strain DSM 22697 NODE_196, whole genome shotgun sequence.
GGCGGUGUAGCCAAGUGGUAAGGCAAAGGUCUGCAAAACCUAUAUGCGUCGGUUCGAAUCCGAUCACCGCCU